rnacentral:lncRNA from 1 species
GGGCUUGACAAUUAUAACUCUAGGAUGUUUCAUAUACCAUACUUGGCUACAUCUGUUGUGGAAAAGAGGGAUGAUGUCAUUUUUUUCACCUCUUUCUGUAAAUAGAAUUUAUGUAGCACAUGUGGGCUUCCUCAAGAGAAAUUUAAAACCCCAAAUUGAUGGGAUGGUGAGACCUACCACCUCUCUCAAGCAUGUGUCUCUCCAAGUGACACACAUAAGACACUAUUUAAAGCAUGUACU